AGAGUUUGAUCCUGGCUCAGGAUGAACGCUAGCGGGAGGCCUAAUACAUGCAAGUCGAACGGUAACAGGGUAGCAAUACCGCUGACGAGUGGCGCACGGGUGAGUAACACGUACACAAUCUGCCUUAUACUGGAGCAUACCCCCAAGAAAUUGGGACUAAUUCUCCAUAAUAUAUCGAAGAGGCAUCUCUUUGAUAUUAAAACUCCGGUGGUAUAAGAUGAGUGUGCGUCUGAUUAGCUAGUUGGUAGGGUAACGGCCUACCAAGGCAACGAUCAGUAACUGGUCUGAGAGGAUGAUCAGUCACACGGACACUGAGACACGGGUCCGACUCCUACGGGAGGCAGCAGUAGGGAAUAUUGGACAAUGGGCGCAAGCCUGAUCCAGCCAUCCCGCGUGAAGGAUUAAGGCCCUCUGGGUUGUAAACUUCUUUUUCGGGGGAAUAAAAACCGGAAUUCAUUCUGGCUUGAAGGUACCCCAAGAAUAAGCACCGGCUAACUCCGUGCCAGCAGCCGCGGUAAUACGGAGGGUGCAAGCGUUAUCCGGAUUCACUGGGUUUAAAGGGUGCGUAGGUGGCUUUGUAAGUCAGUGGUGAAAUCUCGGAGCUUAACUCCGAAACUGCCAUUGAUACUGCUUAGCUUGAAUCAAGUAGAGGUGGAUGGAAUAUUACAUGUAGCGGUGAAAUGCUUAGAUAUGUAAUAGAACACCGAUUGCGAAGGCAGUUCACUAUGCUUGUAUUGACACUGAGGCACGAAAGCGUGGGGAUCAAACAGGAUUAGAUACCCUGGUAGUCCACGCCCUAA
rnacentral:rRNA from 1 species